rnacentral:rRNA from 1 species
GAUGAACGCUAGCGGCAGGCCUAAUACAUGCAAGUCGGACGGGAUUCAGGAGCUUGCUUCUGAUGAGAGUGGCGCACGGGUGCGUAACACGUAUGUAACCUACCUUUAUCAGGGGGAUAGCCUCUCGAAAGAGAGAUUAAGCCCGCAUAAAAUCACAGCACAGCAUUGUGUAAUGAUCAAAUAUUUAUAGGAUAAAGAUGGGCAUGCGGAACAUUAGCUAGAUGGCGGGGUAACGGCCCACCAUGGCGACGAUGUUUAGGGGAUCUGAGAGGAUGGCCCCCCACACUGGUACUGAGACACGGACCAGACUCCUACGGGAGGCAGCAGUAAGGAAUAGUGGUCAAUGGGCGGAAGCCUGAACCAGCCAUGCCGCGUGCAGGAAGACGGCCCUACGGGUUGUAAACUGCUUUUAUACGGGAAUAAACCCAGAUACGUGUAUCUGGCUGAAUGUACUGUAAGAAUAAGAAUCGGCUAACUCCGUG